rnacentral:rRNA from 1 species
GUAACGGCGAGCGAACCGCGCAAAGCCCAACUUGAAAAUCUCCCUUGGAGAAUUGUAGUCUAUAGAAGUACCCUCUGCAACGGGCUGAGCUAAAGUCUCCUGGAAAGGGGCGUCAGAGAGGUGAGAACCCCGUAAGCUCACGCUUAGUUGCCUCACGAGGUGCUUUCAAAGAGUCGGGUUGCUUGGGAAUGCAGCCCAAAUUUGGUGGUAAAUCCCAUCUAAGGCUAAAUAUUGGCGAGAGACCGAUAGCGAACAAGUACCGUGAGGGAAAGAUGAAAAGAACUUUGAAAAGAGAGUUAAAAAGUGCUUGAAAUUGUUGAGGGGGAAGCGUUUGAAUGCUAGGGUGCGCCUAGGCUUAUGGGUCCUUAACGGGGCUCUGUAUGUGCUAGGUGCUGGCCAGCAUGGGUUAGGCUAGUGGGAUAAAAGCUGGGGUUGAUACCCGGUCUAUGCCACUGGCUUGACCAAGGCGUGAAGACUGCCCUUGUCCUUCGGGAACUGCAGUCUCAAGAUGCUGGCAAAAGGCUUUCAACCGACCCGUCUUGAAACACGGACCAAGGAGUCUAACAUGUAUGCGAGUUGGUGGGUGGAAAACCCAUGAAGCGUAAGGAAACUGACUGGUGGGAUGGCCUGUGCCUGCACCUCGACCGACCAUGCGUUUCUGCAAAAGGUUUGAGUGCGAGCAUACCUGUUGGGACCCGAAAGAUGGUGAACUAUGCCUGAGCAGGGUGAAGCCAGGUGAAAACCUGGUGGAGGCUCGUAGAUGUGCUGACGUGCAAAUCGCUUUUCGGACUUGGGUAUAGGGGCGAAAGACUAAUCGAACCAUCUAGUAGCUGGUUUCCUCCGAAGUUUCCCCCAGGAUAGCUGGAGCUUAUUCGGAGUACGGUCAGGAAAGCGAAUGAUUAGAGGUUCGGGGGAUGUAACAUCCUUCACCUAUUCUCAAACUUUAAAUAGGCCGGACGUCCAGGUUGCUUGAUUGAACCUGUGGCAUUCUAUCCGAGCUCCAAGUGGGCCAUUUUUGGUAAGCAGAACUGGCGAUGCGGGAUGAACCGAUAGUCGAGUUAAGGUGCCAAACUACGCGCUAACCUAGAUCCCACAAAGGGUGUUGAUUGAUAUAGACAGCAGGACGGUGGUCAUGGAAGUCGA